UACGUAGGUGGCAAGCGUUGUUCGGAAUUAUUGGGCGUAAAGGGCGCGUAGGCGGUUUGUUAAGUCGGCUGUGAAAGCCCCGGGGCUCAACCCCGGAGGGUCAGCCGAUACUGGCAGACUAGAGUACGGAAGAGGUAGCUGGAAUUCCCGGUGUAGCGGUGAAAUGCGUAGAUAUCUGGAGGAACACCGGUGGCGAAGGCGGCAUCCUGGACCGAUACUGACGCUGAGGAGCGAAAGCCAGGGGAGCAAACGGG
rnacentral:rRNA from 1 species